rnacentral:tRNA from 1 species
AUUUAUUUAGUAUAUAUAGUAUAUUUGACUUCCAAUCAAAAGGAUUGAUUCUCAAAAUAAAUA